rnacentral:rRNA from 1 species
UGCAAGUCGAGCGAUUCUCUUCGGAGAAGAGCGGCGGACGGGUGAGUAACGCGUGGGUAACCUGCCCUGUACACACGGAUAACAUACCGAAAGGUAUGCUAAUACGGGAUAACAUAUUUUGAUCACAUGGUCGAGAUAUCAAAGCUCCGGCGGUACAGGAUGGACCCGCGUCUGAUUAGCUAGUUGGUAAGGUAAUGGCUUACCAAGGCGACGAUCAGUAGCCGACCUGAGAGGGUGAUCGGCCACAUUGGAACUGAGACACGGUCCAAACUCCUACGGGAGGCAGCAGUGGGGAAUAUUGCACAAUGGGCGAAAGCCUGAUGCAGCAACGCCGCGUGAGCGAUGAAGGCCUUCGGGUCGUAAAGCUCUGUCCUCAAGGAAGAUAAUGACGGUACUUGAGGAGGAAGCCCCGGCUAACUACGUGCCAGCAGCCGCGGUAAUACGUAGGGGGCUAGCGUUAUCCGGAAUUACUGGGCGUAAAGGGUGCGUAGGUGGUUUCUUAAGUCAGAGGUGAAAGGCUACGGCUCAACCGUAGUAAGCCUUUGAAACUGAGAGACUUGAGUGCAGGAGAGGAGAGUAGAAUUCCUAGUGUAGCGGUGAAAUGC